UCCACAGAUGAUGGGGAGAACUCAUAAAAUAUUUUAAUCUUUCCUUGUCAGACUUCAGAAAUGCGGACAGCCUUGUCUUCAUUUUCUUUAUGCCCUGGACUUCUAAUUGAGGGAGCUGGCAUCAAUUAUGCAUCCAGCCAGAGAUAUAUCCACUAAGAAAAAAAGCAGAAGUUACUUUCCAAUGAAUACAUGCAGGAAAUUCAUCAUCAUAGCAGGAAACUCAGUGUCCAGUGCCCUGUGCAGAGGCAGAAGCCAAAGGAGCCAACACAAAACAGUGUGAGGUAUUACUGUUCCUGGGAAGUGGUGCCUCCUGGGGUCCCACUGCAUCUCUGGGCCCUGCAACGGAGUGAAGAAAAUGUGAAGUACUGAGACAAACAAGAAAGGGUGAUGUGCCUCGUUUAUGUGUAUUUCUUCAACUCCAAAUCCCUUCUGAUCCUCGCACAGGACUCUGUCGCCUUAGAGGAGACAGUACUCCAGGUUUCUUCCACAUUGACUCCAUGACCUUUGAGGUGCUUCCUCUGGGAGGAUCCAGAUGUGCUGCUGGCAUCGAGAGAAGUUUUUCAAGGGAUGUGCCAUCUAGUGGCCCCUAUAGUGAACUGCAGCCUGCCUCUCAGCCUGCCCGUUGCUAAGGGCCGCAGCUGCAGCACUUCAUCUCCCUGUCUUGAGGCAGAGAAUUAUGGGAUGUUUACACAGAGAGCGACCUCCAGAGAUUUCCUGUCAAGACAUCUGCCUCCAACCAGCACGAACAAUAUGUCUUAUGCUUAUAGUGUUGUAUAAAACAGUUACAAAUAGUACCACGGUUUAAUUCUCA